GGUCAAAUGGCAUUUCUACUGACAGGAUUUGGACUCAUGGUAGUAGGAGCUGGUGGAGUCCGCCCAUGUAAUUUAGCAUUUGGAGCAGACCAAUUCAACCCAAAAACUGAAUCUGGAAAGAAGGGUAUUAAUAGCUUCUUCAACUGGUACUUCUUCACGUUCACGUUCGCCAUGAUGAUAUCUCUUACUCUAAUUGUUUACGUUCAAGCCAAUGUUAGCUGGGCAAUAGGCUUAGCAAUUCCAGCAAUUCUGAUGCUCAUUGCUUGUAUACUCUUCUUCUCGGGUUCAAAAAUCUAUGUCAAAGUGAAAGCUAAUGGCAGCCCAAUGACCAGCGUAGCACAGGUUAUAGUAGUUGCGAUCAAGAAAAGACGGUUGAAGCCAGUAGAGCAACCUUGGUUCUCCCUUUUCAAUUAUACUCCUCCCACGUCUAUCAAUGCCAAGCUUUCUUACACGGAUCAAUUCAGAUUCCUUGACAAAGCAGCAAUUAGGACUCUCGAAGACAAAAUAAACCCUGACGGAUCACCAGCUGAUCCGUGGAAGCUUUGCAGUCUGCAGCAAGUGGAAGAAGUGAAAUGCCUGUUGAGAGUGAUUCCCAUAUGGGUAUCAGAUGUUGUAUUCUUUAUUGCUAUAGUUCAACAGCAAACUUACGCCGUCUUCCAAGCAGUUCAAAGCGAUAGACGCCUUGGAAGCAGCAAUUUCAAAGUCCCAGCUGCGUCCUACGGGGUGUUCAUGAUGCUAAGUUUAACCAUCUUUAUACCUAUCUACGACCGAAUCUUUGUGCCAUUUCUCCAGAGGCUAACAGGUAAAGAGGGUGGCAUCACAAUUCUUCAAAGAAUUGGGAUUGGCAUAAUUUUAUCAGCUCUCGCAAUGUUAGUCUCCGCCUUGGUUGAAGAGAAGAGGAGGACUAUAGCUCUCACCAAGCCAACUGUAGGAACAGCGCCAAGAAGGGGUGGCAUUUCAUCAAUGUCCAGUGUAUGGUUAAUUCCUCAGCUAGCACUGACAGGAUUAGCCGAAGCAUUCGGUUCCAUUGGCAUGGUUGAAUUCUACUACAAGCAAUUUCCUGAGAACAUGAGAAGCAUUGCUGGGUCUCUCUUUUUUUGUGGCAUGGCAGGGUCAAGUUAUUUAAGCAGUUU
rnacentral:misc_RNA from 1 species